UUCAAUCUGUCCAAUUUCCCUAGGUUAAACAUAUUAAAAAAUCAAUCUUUAUUCAUCUUCUCCUUCCCCUAAUCAAUCUGUCCUCCUCUAAAACAAAGCAAAAUAUAUCAAUAAAACUAAAAAUUAAUGGUUCUUCAUCUUCUCCAAUUUCCCUAAUAUCAUUCGUGCCCCGCCUUUCUGAAGCAAAUCAAGAAAAGUUCCAAACCAAAAUGCAAAACCCUAGCCCCAAGUCGUCCCCUGUCUCAGUGCUUCCGCUUAUUCGUCUUCCCUUUGUCCGAAACCCAGGUAGCUCGGCACGUCGUUCCUAUUCUCGCUGGCUUUUCUGUCCGUGGCUUGGAGCAGCUUGCCAUCGGGUCACCGCUUGCCGUCGUCUCUGCUCUCGCCGUCGUGUCGCCGGUCGCCGGUCGCUGCCGUUUGGGUGCAGCGAAAGCUCUUGGUCAAAUCAAACCUCUUGGAGUUAAGGUCAGUAAUUUAUGUCAUAGUUCAUGAAUUUUUCCCCUUUGUAAAGAAUGAAAUUCAAUUGAUUGAUUUGCACAUAGUUUCAUUUGUACAAAACUAAAAGAAAUUUUUUUUAUCUCAUUUCUUAUUUAACACUAUCAAGUUUUCUAUUGCAUUCCAUAUUGCAUAUGAAAUUUCAUUCUAGUUUCUUUUGAAAUUUACGAGUCUAUGCUUGUUCCUAGGCGAGAAUCUCCGGCUUCAAACUUCAGAUUUUUUAUCCCUGCUACUUGCUCUGUUGCACAUUCAUAUCCGGGCGAGUCUAGAACAAAAACAAGGGCUAGAUUUCAAACAGGAUGAUGCUUUAUGUUUGAGUACACCCUGGAGGGGCUUGAAGGAUACCAUAGUCAAGCAAGAUCAGUCUCAUGAGAACCAAUCAGAUAUGAGAAGAAGAAAAAGAAGGCUAUUGCUAUUUUUUAAGGCCUUUAGGCAUAUCUAUCUAGAGUGGAAGCAUGUUAUGAUAUUUCCUUUUUUUUUCUAUCUUUUAGGUGAUUAUUCUUUACGUGAGAACUAGUUCAGGAACACAAUUAUCUAAUAUAUUAUUCUUUAUUAUUAAAGUUUAAGGGGUAGAACAUCUUUUAGUUAAUAAUAUCUGUUACAUAGUGCUAAAACUAUGUGGUUCAAUGAUUGUGAACUAGUAGCAUAUAUGUGUUUUAAAUUGGGAGGAAUCCAAUGAUUGUAUUUAUUUCUUCAUUUUACUACCUAGUCGGUCCCUUUUUUUAAUAGUAUG